rnacentral:rRNA from 1 species
UACGGAGGGUGCAAGCGUUAAUCGGAAUUACUGGGCGUAAAGCGUGCGCAGGCGGUUUGUUAAGUCCGUUGUGAAAGCCCCGAGCUCAACUUGGGAAUUGCGGUGGAUACUGGCAGGCUGGAGUACGGUAGAGGAAGGUGGAAUUCCCGGUGUAGCAGUGAAAUGCGUAGAUAUCGGGAGGAACACCAGUGGCGAAGGCGGCCUUCUGGACCAGUACUGACGCUCAUGUACGAAAGCGUGGGGAGCAAACAGG